CUACGGGGGGCAGCAGUGGGGAAUAUUGCACAAUGGGCGCAAGCCUGAUGCAGCCAUGCCGCGUGUAUGAAGAAGGCCUUCGGGUUGUAAAGUACUUUCAGCGGGGAGGAAGGGAGUAAAAUUAAUACCUUUGCUCAUUGACGUUACCCGCAGAAGAAGCACCGGCUAACUCCGUGCCAGCAGCCGCGGUAAUACGGAGGGUGCAAGCGUUAAUCGGAAUUACUGGGCGUAAAGCGCACGCAGGCGGUUUGUUAGGUCAGAGGUGAAAUCCCCGGGCUCAACCUGGGAACUGCAUCUGAUACUGGGAAGCUUGAGUCUCGUAGAGGGGGGUAGAAUUCCAGGUGUAGCGGUGAAAUGCGUAGAGAUCUGGAGGAAUACCGGUGGCGAAGGCGGCCCCCUGGACGAAGACUGACGCUCAGGUGCGAAAGCGUGGGGAGCAAACAGGAUUAGAUACCCCUGUAGUC
rnacentral:rRNA from 1 species